UACGUAGGUGACCAGCGUUGUCCGGAUUUACUGGGCGUAAAGAGCGCGCAGGCGGUCGUUCAAGUCGAGUGUGAAAGCCCCCCGGCUCAACUGGGGAGGGUCAUUCGAUACUGAUCGACUUGAAGGCAGGAGAGGGAAGUGGAAUUCCCGGUGUAGUGGUGAAAUGCGUAGAUAUCGGGAGGAACACCAGUGGCGAAGGCGACUUCCUGGCCUGUUCUUGACGCUGAGGCGCGAAAGCUAGGGGAGCAAACGGGG
rnacentral:rRNA from 1 species